rnacentral:rRNA from 1 species
UACGAAGGGGGCUAGCGUUGCUCGGAAUCACUGGGCGUAAAGCGCACGUAGGCGGACUCUUAAGUCGGUGGUGAAAUCCUGGAGCUCAACUCCAGAACUGCCUUCGAUACUGGGAGUCUCGAGUCCGAGAGAGGUGAGUGGAACUGCGAGUGUAGAGGUGAAAUUCGUAGAUAUUCGCAAGAACACCAGUGGCGGAAGGCGGCUCACUGGCUCGGUACUGACGCUGAGGUGCGAAAGCGUGGGGAGCAAACAGGG